rnacentral:misc_RNA from 1 species
GAUGAAGAACGUAGCGAAAUGCGAUAAGUAAUUUGAAUUGCAGAAUUCAGUGAAUCAUCGAAUCUUUGAACGCACAUUGCGCCCCUUGGUAUUCCGAGGGGCAUGCCUGUUCGAGCGUCAUUAUAACCCCUCAAGCUCAGCUUGGUGUUGGGGCCUGCCGCACGGGCAGCCCUUAAAAUCAGUGGCGGUGCCAUCUGGCUCUAAGCGUAGUAAUUCUUCUCGCUAUAGAGUCCCGGUGGAUGCUUGCCAUUAACCCCCAAUUUUCUAUGGUUGACCUCGGAUCAGGUAGGGAUACCCGCUGAACUUAAGCAUAUCAAUAAGCGGAGGA